UCCGUAGGCGGGCGACUAAGUCAGAGGUGAAAUCCCACAGCUUAACUGUGGAACUGCCUUUGAUACUGGUUGUCUUGAGUUAUAGUGAAGUAGAUAGAAUAUGUAGUGUAGCGGUGAAAUGCUUAGAUAUUACAUAGAAUACCGAUUGCGAAGGCAGUCUACUAACUAUAUACUGACGCUAAUGGACGAAAGCGUCGGGAGCGAACAGGAUUAGAUACCCUGGUAGUCC
rnacentral:rRNA from 1 species